rnacentral:rRNA from 1 species
UACGAAGGGGGCUAGCGUUGCUCGGAAUCACUGGGCGUAAAGCGCACGUAGGCGGAUGUGCCAGUCAGGGGUGAAAUCCCGGAGCUCAACUCCGGAACUGCCUCUGAUACAGCACGUCUUGAGUUCGAGAGAGGUGGGUGGAAUUCCUAGUGUAGAGGUGAAAUUCGUAGAUAUUAGGAAGAACACCGGUGGCGAAGGCGGCAUCCUGGACCGACACUGAACGCUGAGGAGCGAAAGCCAGGGGAGCAAAGCGGG